GAUGAACGCUGGCGGCGUGCCUAAUACAUGCAAGUCGAGCGAACGGACGAGAAGCUUGCUUCUCUGAUGUUAGCGGCGGACGGGUGAGUAACACGUAGAUAACCUACCUAUAAGACUGGGAUAACUUCGGGAAACCGGAGCUAAUACCGGAUAAUAUUUUGAACCGCAUGGUUCAAAAGUGAAAGACGGUCUUGCUGUCACUUAUAGAUGGAUCCGCGCUGCAUUAGCUAGUUGGUAAGGUAACGGCUUACCAAGGCAACGAUGCAUAGCCGACCUGAGAGGGUGAUCGGCCACACUGGAACUGAGACACGGUCCAGACUCCUACGGGAGGCAGCAGUAGGGAAUCUUCCGCAAUGGGCGAAAGCCUGACGAAGCAACGCCGCGUGAGUGAUGAAGGUCUUCGGAUCGUAAAACUCUGUUAUUAGGGAAGAACAUAUGUGUAAGUAACUGUGCACAUCUUGACGGUACCUAAUCAGAAAGCCACGGCUAACUACGUG
rnacentral:rRNA from 1 species